ensembl:lncRNA
GAAAGACUCGCGCAGCCCACCCAGAGACGCCAAAUUGUCGUGGAAAUUAGACAACACUCGCAGACUCGUCCUCUGAAGGUUGCUCUGCCCCAAUUCGACGUGCUGCACCGGGAUUUGAGAGGAGAAGAUUGUGUGUCGAAGACCGAUAUGUCGGGAGGAAUGUGGAUGUGUGGUUUGUCUGUGAUUGUGUGCAUACUAUUGAGUAGCGAAUAUUUUUCCCGGUGUUUGAGUGAGAUCGCUUGCUAGUUUUAU